rnacentral:rRNA from 1 species
UCUAAAGGGAAACAGCCCAGACUAUCGGCUAAGGUCCCUAACUUUGUGCUAAGUGGGAAAGGAUCUGAAGACGCCCAGACAACCAGGAGGUUGGCUUAGAAGCAGCCAUCCUUUAAAGAAAGCGUAACAGCUCACUGGUCUAAAUAAGGGUCUUUGCGCCGAAAAUGUAACGGGGCUUAAGCCAUACACCGAAGCUUUGGGUUCGAGCAGCAAUGCUUGAGCGGUAGCGGAGCGUUCCGUAGGCCGAUGAAGCCGCAUCCGUGAGGAGCGGUGGAGGUAUCGGAAGUGCGAAUGCUGACAUGAGUAACGAUAAAGAGGGUGAGAGACCCUCUCGCCGUAAGUCCAAGGGUUCCUGCUUAAAGUUAAUCUGAGCAGGGUUAGCCGGUCCCUAAGGCGAGGCCGAAAGGCGUAGUCGAUGGGAAUCACGUUAAUAUUCGUGAGCCUGGAGGUAGUGACGGAUCGCGUGUGUUGUCAGUCCUUAUUGGAUUGGUCUGGCGGCGAAGCGGUUCCAGGAAAUAGCUCCUCCUUAUAGUCCGUACCCUAAACCGACACUGGUGGACUGGUAGAGAAUACCAAGGCGCUUGAGAGAACUCUGCUGAAGGAACUCGGCAAAUUACACGCGUAACUUCGGAAGAAGCGUGACCAUUCGACGGGCAACCGUCGGGUGGUGGCACAGACCAGGGGGUAGCGACUGUUUAUCAAAAACACAGGGCUCUGCGAAGCCGCAAGGCGACGUAUAGGGUCUGACGCCUGCCCGGUGCCGGAAGGUUAAAAGGAGGGGUGCAAGCUCCGAAUUGAAGCCCCAGUAAACGGCGGCCGUAACAAUAACGGUCCUAAGGUAGCGA